AUUGAACGCUGGCGGCAUGCCUUACACAUGCAAGUCGAACAGCAGCACGGGAGCAAUCCUGGUGGCGAGUGGCGAACGGGUGAGUAAUAUAUCGGAACGUGCCCAGUAGUGGGGGAUAACUGCUCGAAAGAGCGGCUAAUACCGCAUACGACCUGAGGGUGAAAGGGGGGGAUCGCAAGACCUCUCGCUAUUGGAGCGGCCGAUAUCAGAUUAGCUAGUUGGUGGGGUAAAGGCCUACCAAGGCAACGAUCUGUAGUUGGUCUGAGAGGACGACCAGCCACACUGGGACUGAGACACGGCCCAGACUCCUACGGGAGGCAGCAGUGGGGAAUUUUGGACAAUGGGCGCAAGCCUGAUCCAGCAAUGCCGCGUGCAGGAAGAGGGCCUUCGGGUUGUAAACUGCUUUUGUCAGGGAAGAAAUCCUCUAGGUUAAUACCCUUGGGGGGAUGACGGUACCUGAAGAAUAAGCACCGGCUAACUACGUGCCAGCCGCCGCCGUAACAC
rnacentral:rRNA from 1 species